CCUACGGGAGGCAGCAGUGAGGAAUAUUGGUCAAUGUGCGAGAGCCUGAACCAGCCAAGUUGCGUGAGGGAAGACGGUCCUAUGGAUUGUAAACCUCUUUUGCCGGGGAGCAAAAAGCGGUACGCGUACCGCAUCGAGAGUACCCGGAGAAAAAGAAUCGGCUAACUCCGUGCCAGCAGCCGAGGUAAUACGGAGGAUGCGAGCGUUAAUCGGAAUUACUGGGCGUACAGGGUGUGCAGGCGGCUGAGUAAGACAGGUGUGAAAGCCGCGGGCUUAACCUGGGAACCGCAUAUGUGACUGGUUGGCUAGAGUGCGUCAGAGGGAAGUGGAAUUCCACGUGUAGCAGUGAAAUGCGUAGAUAUGUGGAAGAACAACGAUGGCGAAGGCAGCCUCCUGGGACGCAACUGACGCUCAUACACGAAAGCGUGGGGAGCAAACAGGAUUAGAUACCCCUGUAGUC
rnacentral:rRNA from 1 species